GCCGCUCUCUCCAGCUGGCACAGGACGAGAGCCGAGCGGCCGAGCACCUGUGCCGGGCCCUACCGUACCUGGACAGCCCACAGGAGCCCCUGCGAGAGGCGGCCGUCAGGUUCCUCGGGAUGGCCAGGGAGCCCCUGAGGGGGCAGCAGGAGGAGCUGCAGGCCCUCAUCGAGGCAAUUCAAGCUCUAAGAAGAGAUGACAACCCUUCUGAGAGAAACACAGUUCUUCAGCAGACAUUUAUUGAAAGAACUGCAGAACUACGCUC